AUACGGAGGAUCCGAGCGUUAUCCGGAUUUAUUGGGUUUUAAGGGAGCGUAGGUGGACAGUUAAGUCAGUUGUGAAAGUUUGCGGCUCAACCGUAAAAUUGCAGUUGAUACUGGCUGUCUUGAGUACAGUAGAGGUGGGCGGAAUUCGUGGUGUAGCGGUGAAAUGCUUAGAUAUCACGAAGAACUCCGAUUGCGAAGGCAGCUUGCUGGACUGUAACUGACGCUGAUGCUCGAAAGUGUGGGUAUCAAACAGGAUUAGAUACCCUGGUAGUCCACACAGUAAACGAUGAAUACUCGCUGUUUGCGAUAUACAGUAAGCGGCCAAGCGAAAGCGUUAAGUAUUCCACCUGGGGAGUACGCCGGCAACGGUGAAACUUAAAGGAAUUGACGGGG
rnacentral:rRNA from 1 species